CUUGCCUCCUGGGCCAUGCAUGGAGUCGUGAUUGCCCUGAGAAAAUGGACCAAUCCUGCUUGUCUGAAGACAAGCAUGUUUGAGUCAGUGGUCUCCCCCAUCAUGUAAAUCCACUUGUCAGAUGAGCCUUGCUGCCUCUGGAGAUUUGGAGUAGGGAAACAGCUUUGUGCAUCACUACCACAGGAAACUGGAAGUCCACCAAACCCAGCAUGCUGUGGGAGGAGCAGAUCUGCAAUAUGAAAAGGACAGCAUCUGUGCUCCCAGUGCUCAGCUAGGAGGUAGGCCAAGAAUCACCAGGUUACCCCUCUUCUUCCCUCUUCUAAUCUGAGCAAAUGAAAGGAAACAUGAA
rnacentral:lncRNA from 12 species